AUGCUCACGCCUCGGUGUGAAGGAGCUCUCGCCUGUGUUUCUCGCUAUCCCCAUCUAAAUGCUGGAGCGAGGAGUUAAAUUAUUCCAGAAGGCCCGCCAGGGUCUGAUUUGCCACUGUCUGCUUCCUCGUUGCCUUUGAAUGGGACCCUUGAUCCAAGGCUUUCAGAGACCAGCCGGUGCUGAUGGGGGCCUGUGACUUGGCGGUGGCGCCAGCUUGCUCCUUCUCUGUCUCGGGCAUGGUUUUCUGUCCUGCUGGGGAGGGCGAGAGCGCUGGGCAGAGGUGGCACCUGACCCGCUAGAACUCCGAUGUCACUGCUGUGGCUGUUACUCCCCUCGGCAAGAGUCAAGGCGCACGCAGGACGUGAAUCCCACCUCGGACUUGCCUCAUCUUUCUGAGACUAUGGCUCUUCAGGAGAUCUGCACUAUUGCUGAACAGCGGAGACUCACAGUAGUUCUUAGGUGCAAAGAGAUUGAUGGCUACAUGUCUCCUUUUGGAUGCCACCAGAUCAUUCCAGCCACCUGCCAUUGUGUUGUCUCCAGACAAGGGCAGACAAUCACAGAAGCUUUGAGGUCCUGAGGCUCCCUGGAGAGAAGAAUAGCAUCCCUGGCAAAGAGUCCUUCUUUGCCACCUGGAUGUCCCCGCUUCCUUCAGAAGAAUAUGGGUAGGAAGAACUAGCAGAUCUCCAAAAGCGCUGUGAACCAAGGAAGUGGAAUAACAAAGGGCCCGAAGACUGCACAGCCCCAGCUGGUAGGCCCUGGAGAGAGGCUGGAGUCCUCAGGCAGACAGAAGGAAGACAUCUGAGAGGCGACCAGGAGGUGCCUGUGACUGCGGAGUACAGGAUAUGAAUCAGAGAGAAAGAAGUGAACUCUUGUCACAGAAGAAAGGGAGCGAUUGGCAGAAGACUUUUCUCUGGUGUGGGUGGCUGAUUUGAAGACCCUGGCAACAUGGAGGUUGCUUUUCAAUAUUCAUAAGAAGUUGGCUUUCCAGGUAAUGGCAUUUUUCUCUACUUACCUGCAAACCUUCCAUUUCCUCAAAUACUGCAACUGUUAGGGCUUUGAAAACUUAUUUUUUUUCAAGUGUCACUAAAUUUUUAAUUUUACAACCAAUCAA